AGACUGCUUUAGUUGCUUUAGCUGCACAUGCUUCUGAUCCCAGUGAGGCAGAAAGAUUGAGAUUUUUGGCGUCUCCUGCUGGCAAGGAUGGAUAUUCUCAAUGGAUAGUUGCAAGUCAGAGGAGCCUCCUGGAGGUUAUGGCCGAGUUCCCUUCAGCCAAGCCUCCACUAGGAGUUUUCUUUGCAGCAAUAGCCCCCCGGUUGCAGCCUAGAUAUUAUUCAAUAUCAUCUUCACCAAGAAUGGCAUUAACUAGAAUCCAUGUAACAUGUUCUUUAGUCCAUGGACCAACACCGACAUGAAGGAUUCACAAAGGAGUCUGCUCAACCUGGAUGAAGGUUAGUCUUGUUCUAUCUCUUGAAAAUUGUGUUUCUUUAAAUUUUCGUUUUAAUUUAUCCAAAGAUUCAUUUCAGAGAUUUACCGCUACAUGUCUGCUUACACACAAAGAGCCACCUAGAUCAAAAUAUUAUUCCUAUGAAUUGAGUGUUCCAGUUUGCUCUUCUUUUUAAUUUCUAAAGCUAACUAAGAUUCUUAUAUUAUUUUGUGAAGAAUUAGCAUAUCAAAGUAAUAAAUAAAUGCAAUCAAUGAUGAUGCUUGUGCCGAACUUUGAGAUAAAAUAUCAAGAACCAAUGGAAGUUUACUAUUGUGUUACUAAGAACUUUAUAGUGUUCUCUAAAUAGAUUUUGCUCACUUUUCUCAUCAUCUUACAUCAUUAACAAAAAAAACUACUAACAAUAUUAAUUUCAAUUUGCACAUGGGUGGGUAAAAUCAAUUUUAAAAAAAAAACUAUUCUGAAAAUUACUUAAAAAGUGUUUGACCAAUAAUUUAUGAUAUGCCAAAUGCCCUCUCCCUGGUGGACUCAUCAUUGCUUAUGCCCGGCACAUGGUUAGGCAUAGAGAGCAUAUGUUUGCUUCUUCUCUGUUUCUUUGGCUCAUUUCUACUUGUGUUGAUUUUCUAAUUGUGUUGCUUUUCUACUGAACUUCCUGUUGACUAUCCUUUAGUACAUAUUUUUUGAUAGACCUCCGAGCAUGUCAUACAGAUACCAGGCCAUAAAUAUGCUUUUAUAAUUGGCUAGCAUUAGUUACAUUACCAUAAUGGCAAAAGUUAAAGAAAUAGGCUUUUAUGUCAACCACCUCAAAAAUUAAAGACUCGUACAAAAGUGCUCAUAUAUGUUUGUAAGGCUCAUUUUGGUCUCUUCUUCAUUGUACAUUUCCACUUGGCCUGUGUUUUUCACGUACCUAAGCUUGAGCAAGUUAAGGAAUUGUUAGGUCCCUGUCACCAAGUUCCAUAUUUGUCAAUGUUUUUGACCAUGUUGUUUAUAUGUCAUUGAUCUAAAAAUAUGGAGGGUAAGUGGGUAACGAUGUCUUAGAUGUGACUGGUAUAAGAUAGAGGAAAUAAAUCACUUGAUGAAAAAUGUAAAGGUGGAAGAUAUGUAGGCUGAAGAAGGUAAUUGACAAAUAUGAAUAUAUGAUUGUGAUGGAUAACUACUCAAAGGAGGUACUCUAAAUCAGUUUGUAUCAUAUGCUCUUGAUGUUGUCUAUGUUGAUAGAAAUAUUGAUCAUAAAAUGCAGGAGCCAAUUCACAAGCGAGAAUGUUUUGUUGUUUUACUAGAUCUAAACAUGAUUUAAGGUAAUAUGAGGAAUAUAGAAGCCUUAAAGAAUUUGUGUAUUACUUAUCCAUACAUAAAAGGCCCAGUGAUUAGGAUCAUGAAGAGAAUGGAAUCGUAAAGCACUUUUCUUAUUCAAAUUGAGUACCAAAAUUUUCUACCUGGAGCAUGUGUAGGACACAAUAUUGUAUACAUAAGUGCCACACAAUCAAUACAGAAGCUUACAUGUUAUAGGCUCGGUGACUAUGGAGGCAUGAUGAUGAAAGUGAACUUUGAAGUUACCCAACCUCUGCCAUGACCAUUCAGUAAGGGGACUUGGUUUGGAAGCCAUAAGAUCUUCUGAAUAUUUUUGUUUAAAACUCAUGAAACCUGUUGCUUGGUUUUAUAGAAGAUUGUGGGUUUGGGUAGUUCAUCAGGUGUAAUAAUCAUGACCAGCUAACUCUCACAUGGACGUAAACAUGACGUGAGGAAGUAGAGGGACCAAUAACUUGAUAAAUCUUUGUAGAGAAUGAGGAUCCAGUGUGGUUUUCCACAGUUCAUUUAGAUCCAGGACUUAAGCAUGUAUAUUUAUGAGCUGUUUACUCUUUAUUUCUCUGUUGAUAUAAUGGCUAAACCAAAUUGUUUUCUUCAGGAUCCCUCGGGUGGGACAUUAUUUACCAGACUAGACGGACUAGGUAUAUUCACCUAUUAAGUUUAAUAACAUUGAAAACUGUGACUUAUAAAUUGCAUGUACCCAAAAACUGUGACUCCGUAUAACAUUGAACAGUAUAAUCUAUUUUAUCUGACAAUGGUCAACUAUUAGGUAUAUUAGGCUGCAUAACAAGUCGGCAGAGCUUGAAUAAUGAAUGGCGCAAGUCAACUUACUCUUUAUUGAGCUUGCAUUUUGGGUAUGAACCAAUUUUCAGCAUAACAAUUUUCAAACAAAUUAACGACAUACAUUCUGAUGCUAAAGAUCUGGUUUAUUUCUUUGCCUGAGCCUCAUCACAACAUUUGCUACUUGCUCAAUCUGAAUCAAUCCAGCAAAAUAUAUAGGAUUCACAUUGACUUGUAUUUGGUGAAUGUUUGUUGCUUCUUCAUUAUGCUUAUCGACAGGGUCCUCGACAAAAUUUAUGCAAUCUCCUUCGAAUGAGACAUCAGUCGUCUCUAAUAGAGUUGUGGCGAUUAGUGAACCAUACACAGAACCUCUUGGCACAAAAUAACAACAAGAUGAAGAGAAGGCAACCAAGCCAAGCAAAUCACUACAGUGCACAGUUAAUGAUCAAUGGAUAGCAAAGCAAAGGCCGGGAAAAGAACUCUGGCAAAUAUAUAUGAAACACAAUGCGCAAUCAGAAGCUUUGAGAUGAAAGGAUAAUCAAAGGCUUUUUAUUUAAAGAAAUUAGUGCAAAGAC